CAACAGGGAUUACCUCAGUAACGGCGAGUGAAGCGGUAACAGCUCAAAUUUGAAAUCUGGCCUCACGGUCCGAGUUGUAAUUUGUAGAGGAUGCUUCGAGCAUGGUCUGGCCUAAGUUCCUUGGAACAGGACGUCAUAGAGGGUGAGAAUCCCGUAUGCGGUCAGGUGCCUACGCUCAUGUGAAGCUCCUUCGACGAGUCGAGUUGUUUGGGAAUGCAGCUCAAAAUGGGUGGUAAAUUUCAUCUAAAGCUAAAUAUUGGCCAGAGACCGAUAGCACACAAGUAGAGUGAUCGAAAGAUGAAAAGCACUUUGGAAAGAGAGUUAAACAGUACGUGAAAUUGUUGAAAGGGAAGCGCUU
rnacentral:rRNA from 1 species